rnacentral:rRNA from 1 species
CCUCAAGAUAAGAUUUCCCUAGGAAUUUAUUCCUCUAAAGAGCCGUUCGAGACUAGGACGUUGAUAGGUUGGAUGUGGAAGCAUAGUGAUAUGUGAAGCUGACCAAUACUAAUUGCUCGUGAGGCUUGACUAUACAACACCCAAGCAGUUG